rnacentral:piRNA from 1 species
UGACACGUGCUAAGGUAUAGUCUCAGGCCU